AGAUGAUUCGAUAACUGUUGUGUUCUCUUUGAUCCAGCCGUUACAUAGAGCGUAAAGAAAAAGCGAACGAGCAAGU
rnacentral:tRNA from 1 species